AGAGUUUGAUCCUGGCUCAGAUUGAACGCUGGCGGCAGGCUUAACACAUGCAAGUCGAACGGUAGCAGGAGGAAGCUUGCUUUCUUGCUGACGAGUGGCGGACGGGUGAGUAAUGCUUGGGAAUCUGGCUUAUGGAGGGGGAUAACUACUGGAAACGGUAGCUAAUACCGCGUAAUAUCGAGAGAUUAAAGGGUGGGACUUUCGGGCCACCUGCCAUAAGAUGAGCCCAAGUGGGAUUAGGUAGUUGGUGGGGUAAAGGCCUACCAAGCCUGCGAUCUCUAGCUGGUCUGAGAGGAUGGCCAGCCACACUGGAACUGAGACACGGUCCAGACUCCUACGGGAGGCAGCGGUGGGGAAUAUUGCACAAUGGGGGGAACCCUGAUGCAGCCAUGCCGCGUGAAUGAAGAAGGCCUUCGGGUUGUAAAGUUCUUUCGGUGAUGAGGAAGGUGUUUUGUUUAAUAGACAAGGCAAUUGACGUUAGUCACAGAAGAAGCACCGGCUAACUCCGUGCCAGCAGCCGCGGUAAUACGGAGGGUGCGAGCGUUAAUCGGAAUAACUGGGCGUAAAGGGCACGCAGGCGGAUUGUUAAGUGAGAUGUGAAAGCCCCGAGCUUAACCUGGGAAUUGCAUUUCAGACUGGCAGUCUAGAGUAUUUUAGGGAGGGGUAGAAUUCCACGUGUAGCGGUGAAAUGCGUAGAGAUGUGGAGGAAUACCGAAGGCGAAGGCAGCCCCUUGGGAAUAUACUGACGCUCAUGUGCGAAAGCGUGGGGAGCAAACAGGAUUAGAUACCCUGGUAGUCCACGCUGUAAACGAUGUUGAUUUGGGGAUUGGGCUUUAAGCUUGGUGCCCGUAGCUAACGUGAUAAAUCAACCGCCUGGGGGAGUACGGCCGCAAGGUUAAAACUCAAAGGAAUUGACGG
rnacentral:rRNA from 1 species